rnacentral:rRNA from 1 species
CAGUAGCCGCGGGAAUACAGAGGGUGCGAGCGUUAAUCGGAUUUACUGGGCGUAAAGCGUGCGUAGGCGGCUUCUUAAGUCGGAUGUGAAAUCCCUGAGCUUAACUUAGGAAUUGCAUUCGAUACUGGGAAGCUAGAGUAUGGGAGAGGAUGGUAGAAUUCCAGGUGUAGCGGUGAAAUGCGUAGAGAUCUGGAGGAAUACCGAUGGCGAAGGCAGCCAUCUGGCCUAAUACUGACGCUGAGGUACGAAAGCAUGGGGAGCAAACAGGAUUAGAUACCCCUGUAGUCCCUGUCUCUUAUAU